CAAAAAUUUCAGUAGUUUAAGAGAAAUUAAAAACCUUUCCCCAAAUCUGACCCAAUUCUAAAAUCAAUCCUAGACCAGAUCCAAUGUUCUAAAACUCGGCCGCCCAAGCCGCCUAGGCGGGGCCUGGGGACUGGGCGGCGGCACUCCUAUUCCAUUAAUAUCAAAUCGGCAGGGUUGGGUGGGAAUAAGUUCAGCGGUUGCCCAAGCUGCCUGGGUGGUUGAUUAGUCGCCUGGGCGGGAGGUGGUUAGGCCCUAAGUGAACGUCGACCACGGCAUGUCUCUCCCUCCCCCCCUCCCCCCCGGCGUCGCCGCCUCCUGACUUCUCAAUCCGAUUAUGAGGUUUAGAACUUCAUCUCCAAUUUUGCUUCUCUCUCUCUCAAUCUUUAGCCUUUGUCUUUAUCUCUCCUUGUUAUUAAGUUUCAAUCAAAUUCGAUCAGCUCUUCGUUCUUUGGAUGGGUCUAUUGAUUGGAUUAAUUGAUUGGGUCUUCUGAAAUUAUUGUUUCUUAAUUGAUUGGGUAUAUGAAAUCCAUGUUUGGCUUGUUGUAGCUGUUGAUUGUUUGGAAUUGAAUCAAGUGAUGCUUCGCUAAUGCAAUUGCCAUUUUUUUAAUGUUUAUUAAAACAAUUGCUGAUUGUUUGAAAAUCCAGUGGAUGAUCUUUUUCAUGGGGGAAAAAAUCUUGUAGAUUAUCCAAACAUAGAAAAUGGUGGUGUUGAGUGCACUGUGUGCUUUAAUCCAGUUUGAACUCAAAGUUGCAGACUUUGUUUCUAAUUACUUCCUAUAUAUUCCAACUUUCUAAGUGAGCAAGUUUACUAUGUAGCAGUGUGGUGUUUUGUUGUUUAUGUUGUUAUCUUCAUUUUCAUUGAACUGGUUCAGACUGAGUGUACUGUGACUCUACGAGUCUGGGAAAAAAGUGGAAAUUGGGUUGUUUAGCGAGGUUGAUAGAUUCUUCGGUUAUAAAGAGAUUGCCAAUUAAGUAAAGUUUUGUAUAGAACUACAGAUAAGUUUUCUGUUGCCGUUAAUAAUGGCAAGACUCUUAUCUACUUAAUCAUGAAAAGUGUUCUUUUAGAAGACUAACAGUACACCCUCCAGCCUUCCAUAAUUGUCAUAAACUCAUGACCACAUCGGAGUCCACUCGUCACCGGAGCUCACCUUGGACCUCUCGUUCUCGUUGACGAUCAAGGUCGAUCAGCUCUCUGAUCCGCCGCCGGUCAUGGUUAAGCAUAUAGAAGUAAUCGACUAUGUUGUAACGGAAACCGCCUAGAGCAAGAGAGAAAGAAAGACGAAUUUUCUGCAGCACUGAUUUCGUUAGGCGAGGAAUCAAAAUUCUCUCUCUACGGCGACAUUGGACGAUGGUGACCGGUUUGGUUGGAGAAGCUUCCGCGGAAGCUAAGAUUGGCGGCCUGGACUGACCGGAUGUGCGAGGCAGGAAGAGAGAAUUUCAAUUUGUUGUGUUAGGUUCCCAAAUCAAAUGUCUUUUUUUUUUUUUUUGGUAAACUAUGGGCAGAAAUCAGAGAAGGAAAAGAAAAGAAAAAAAAAAGUUAUAUUGGAGGGCAAUAGAGGUUCAUUAAAGAUCUAUUGGGGGGCAAUAGACAUAUUGAAUUGAUGUAAUCUCCUCGUUUUUUUUUUCUCUUUAAUCAAAGUUUUAUUUGUCUAACUUUAGGAAGAUUAGUUUCCUAUUCCGAUGACCGAAAGUCCUAUUGGGGGACAAUAGACGUCUAUUGAGGACAAUAAACCUUUCCAGCGACCUUUGACAUCUGUGACGACCUUUGAUGAGGUUUUCAGAAAAGUCUGGUGGGCGGAGUCUUGUAACCAGAAUUUGGCGACUGAUGAUCGGAUUCCGGUGAAAGUUGGCCGGAAUCCGGCCAUCGGUGACUGGGCUCCAGCGAAGUCUCCUAUGGUUUUUUUUUCUCUCUCUCUAAGUAACAAAGGGAUGAGGGUAAAAAAAAUCUCAAAAAAAAAAAAAAAUUAAUGGGUUAUUAAGGAAGACUUUUUUGAGAAGAAGUUUGAGAAGAGUAUUAAGGAAGACUUCCUUAUAGUGUUUUGUAGGUUUUGGGUAAAGGGGAAUUACAAAAACUUAAUGGGGUAAGUGGGAAAAAAAUAUUUAGAAAUGGGAUAAAUGGACAAAAACCCUUAUAUAUAUUCUUCAAGAUACAAAUAAAUGCUAUAAAAAUAAAAUUAAAAUUAAAAUUGAAAAAUAUAAAACCGCCUAGGUGUCAGGGGGCUAGCUAGUUCCCUGGCCACUGCUCGACUAGUGCCUAGUGAUUUGUCUGGUGACCAAUGACCGGAUUCCGGCGAAAGUUGGCCGGAUUCCUACCACCAGUGACCGAAAUACGGCCAUCAUUGACGGGGCUCCGGCGAGGUCUCCUAUGGUUUUUCUCUCUAUCUCUCUCUUUCUAAGUAACAAAGGGAUGAGAGUAAAAAAGUCUUUAAAAAAAAAUUAAUGGGGUAUUAAGGAAGACUUUCUUAAAGUGUUUUGGGUAAUGGGAAAUUACAAAAACUUAAUGGGGUAAGUGAGAAAAAAAUCUUUAGAAAUGGGGUAAAUGGACAAAAAACCCUUAUAUAUUCUUCAAGAUACAAAUAAAUGCUAUAAAAAUAAAAUUCAAAUUCAAAAAUAUAAAAUCGCCUAGGCGUCUGGGGGCUAGUUCCCUGGGCCCUGGCCACUGCCCGACUAGCGCCUAGCGACUUUUCAAACAUUGACAAGAUCCAAUCUUUAGCCCAAGCCCACUCCAACCUCUUGGCUCUUGCUGCAAUCCAAUCCCCCAAUCACCUUCGCUGAGAUUGGAUCUGAUCCCCUCGAUAGUCGUUGUUCGAUCUGCAAAUGACAAUCUCAAACAAACACUAUCGAUCCUCUGUAAACAACCACUAAGCCAUUAAGCCAAAAAAAUUAGCGUUGGGCAUUUGGCACCAGAAAUCCGGUUACUGAGCCGACCGAACCUCAAAUUCCGGUGCGGCAACCGAUCCACAUUCAAAACGAUGCCGUUCUGAGAACACACCGAACCGAACCGCUCCACUUCGGGUCGGAAUCGGGUCCAGGUGUCGAACUGACCGGAUUAAAACCGACCGACCCGAAUUUAAAUUAAUUAUAUAUUUUCAAUUAUUUUUAAUACCUAUCAAUCUCUGAUUGGCCCUAAGGCCAAGCUUACCUAGACUUGGCCACACUCGAUCUGACAAAAACCCUAAAGAGGGUAAGACCCCAAAGUGGCCGCAUUCGACCUGUUCUCUCACUCUCUCCUCUCACUCUCUCCUUCGAGGCCAGCCGAAGCCUUCGACGACUGACCGUUGACGGCGCCGGUGCCGGUGCUUUGUCUCACUACUCAGGAGAUCGAGAUCUGCAAGGUGGAUUUCCUUCGAGCCCAGCCGAAGUCUUUGACCAUAUCCUCUCACUAUUCAGGAGUUUGAGAACUGCAAGCUGGUUUGGUGUUUAGGGUUACUGGGUAUCAAAUGAGAGAGGAUGAUUGGUUGGUGGGUUACUGGAAUACUGGGUUUACUUGAUUAGUGACUCGAUGAAUGGGGCUGAAUCGGCAGAUUGGAGCUGCAUUUAUUGUACCUGUUGCAGCUUGCUUGUUGUCUAU